rnacentral:rRNA from 1 species
UACGGAGGGUGCGAGCGUUGUCCGGAAUCACUGGGCGUAAAGGGCGCGUAGGCGGCGCGGGUAGUCAUCGGUGAAAGUUCAGGGCUCAACUCUGAAUCGGCCGGUGAUACUCCCGUGCUCGAGCACUGUAGAGGCAGGUGGAAUUCCGGGUGUAGCGGUGGAAUGCGCAGAUAUCGGGAAGAACACCCGUGGCGAAGGCGGCACUCUGGGACGGUACUGACGGCUGAGACGCGAAAGCGUGGGGAGCGAACAGG